GACAGGAUCCCACUGUGUCACCCAGGCUGAAGUGCAGUGGCACCAUUAUAGCUCACUGCAGCCUUGAACUCUUGGGCUCAAGUGAUCCUCCUACCUCAGCCUCCCGAGUAGCUGGGACUACAGGAAAUGUCAAUUGCCUACCUGAUGGCUGUGAAAAACAGAAAGAAGAAACAAAGACAUAUCUGUGCUAGAUGUAAAGGUUGAGCUUGAAAAAAGAAAACUACUCUUGACGCUGAAGAACGCAAUCCAACAUGAAAGAAUGCUUAUUUCAAGUUUUACCUGAAUCUACCUAGAGCUGAAUUUCUUAUCUAUACUUUACUACAGAUAUUCUGCUUUGUGCAGAUCUACAAUGGAUCAUUAAAGUCAAAGGACAAUUACUUAUCUUUCUACUCCUCCCAGUACCCAAGACCUGAGAGUGAGAUAUUAAAUUCGUCCUUAGAUCUUUCAUGCAAUGUUACAGCUCUUUGGAACUCCUCAUGAAGCUCCUCCUCUCCAUGGUGGAAUUUUACUCUGAGGAGAGAUAGGCUAAAAUGUUUCAGUCCCCUAUAUGAUAAGUCCAAAAUCACCGUUUCACAUAUAUGCUGACCUGAUACAUUGAGUCACUGAUACGUGUCUUUCCACCUUCAGUAUAUUUUCUUUGACUAGCUUUAUUGCUUCCCUGUGAUGCUGAAUUUUGAGCAUGGAUGUGUGUGUCCAUAACAAAACCAUCCUAGGUAAACUGAAUUUGGUUAUUUGAAUUUCAUAAUUACUCUUUACUCCAAGUGUUGUGGAUUCAUGAUGCAAAUUUACCCAUUCCCAUUGCAAUAACUUAGAGCCAAAUAUCAAUUAUUUUAAAACUUGGUUCUCAUCACUGAACUAACAGUGUUGAAAAAGACAAUUUGCCUAUAUUUAAUAGUUUGCUAGUAAACUUUAUUUUGGGUUACAUCAAACUUGUAAUAAGUAGUGACUGGAUUGGGAAGGUGAGGUGUGCUGAUU
rnacentral:lncRNA from 1 species